UUUUAAUACAAUCUCAGUUGCUCAUGGGGACUGAGGAGGGUGACACAUCUCCAUGAGAUUGCACACUCCUCACAGAGAGGCAGUCAUGCUUGCAUCUAGGUCUGCCUGGAUAUGGCUGCCCAGUUUCCCUGGCAGGUUUGGGGCCUGCUUUCCUUGCCGUAGACUCCUUCCAUUUCAGACACAAUGGGGAAGCCUGCAGUCUUCAGAACACACAACUGAGCUCUUCCUCUUCAGAGAACAGGAGAGAAAUAAAUGCCUCUCAUUUUUUUGGGGUGAGCCUGGCUGUCAUCAUGAUUUCUAGGUCAGACUCAGUUCCCAGGGGGCCACAUGCACAAGUCCCUUUCUUCAGCAGUGGGGAGAAGGUCAGUGCUUGGAGGGAGGGAGUGUGGUACAGCCUACAGCCUGUUUACAGAACCCCUGCUCUGUCUCCAGGCACUGGAAUGUGAUGCAGGAGCCCUGGUGAGCAGAGAGGGGAAGAGGGCGAAGACUGAGGGGAGGUGGGAGGGGCUGUUUAUCACUGGCACAGCAGCUACCUGCUUUUCACUUUAAAAAGCACCAGGAUCGGGAGGGCGUGGGGUGGGGGCUGGCACAGGAGGCGGGAGAGAGCCAGGCAUGAACUUGGCUUCUGUCGCAGCUGCGACUCUGACAGGUUUAGGGCUGUCUGAUGAAGUGUGCAUCCCUUAUUUGCAUGCGUUUGGAAGAGGAGGAGGAAGAAGAAGAAAAGAGGAGAAGGCAAAGGAGAUCCUGGGAUGUCCCUCUCUCUGUGAUUUCUCUAUCUCUCAGGUCACUCACUCUGGGCAAAAUCCUGCUUCCGUGUCCUGGGAAACCAUAUGGAGAAGCCCAUGUGAGGAGCUGAAGCCUCCGGCCCUCAGCCAGUGAUGCAUUCAGGCCUGCCAAUCAUGACCUGAGAGAGCUUGGGAGUGGAUCCUCCAGCCUCGGUUAAGCCUUCAGAUGACUGGAGCCCUGGCCGACUCCUUGACUGAAACCCCAUGAGGGUUCCUGAGCCAGAACCACCCAACUAAGUCACAUACAGAUUCCUGAUCCUCAGGAACGAUUAGAUAAUAAAUCUUGGUUGUUUUAAGCUGCUAAGUUUGGG
rnacentral:lncRNA from 13 species